rnacentral:rRNA from 1 species
UACGAAGGGGGCUAGCGUUGUUCGGAUUUACUGGGCGUAAAGCGCGCGUAGGCGGCCUGUUAAGUCGAACGUGAAAUCCCCGGGCUCAACCCGGGAACUGCGUCCGAUACUGGCAGGCUUGAAUCCGGGAGAGGGAUGCGGAAUUCCAGGUGUAGCGGUGAAAUGCGUAGAUAUCUGGAGGAACACCGGUGGCGAAGGCGGCAUCCUGGACCGGCAUUGACGCUGAGGCGCGAAAGCCAGGGGAGCAAACGGG